AGAGGUUGCUGAAACUCAAGACUGAUGGAUAAAUUAUGUAGAUGUAGAUAAAUUACAAGGGCUUAUUUGUGCCCCCCCCCCCUCUCUUGCCCCGUUUCCCUAAGUAAACAGUAAUCAACCCCCGCCGUGAUAACCAGGAGGGAAUUGACCUUUAGUUCCAUGACCUUUUUUGGCUUUGGCAUAUUUUAUCGACUGCACUUUGUCGAUAUGUCGUCUCUACGUCUACCUGUAGUACUGUACCGGCGUAGAGUUCAAUCGUUGGCCGGCGUUCCAUAGACCUGAUCCAUUGCUGAGGAGAGGUUGCUGAAAUUCAAGACUGAUUGAUAAAUUACGUAGAAAAAUUACAAAUGUAGAUCUGUGCUCCCUAAGACCCUUAAGUAAACAGAAACCAAUUCUCGUUUUUUUAAUUUUUUAAUAUAUAUUUUUAUGAUAUUUUUUCAAGUACGAACUUGUAAUUUAGACUGAAGGAUUUAAUUUUGUGAGCACUGCGGACAAGAAAAGCGGAUUUUUUAUUACUGCGGCCCCGUUAUUCUCCUCUUUACACGCGAAAAAUCCCAGUGAAGAAUGGACGGAAAAGUCACGAGGUCGACAGUUUUUGCAACCCCAAAUUCGACAUCGAAGAAAACCAAACAGCAAUCGGAAUCGGAAUGGCGCAUUACGAAGCUCACAUUUACGAUGUGUUUGGCCUUGAUACAUUUGUGGGAACGUUCAUCUAGCUUCAUGCUGCUACACAACUUACAAUCUCAAUUUAGUAAUUUACUGACGAGUUGAACCACUUUAGUCCGCUGUGACAUACCUGUAGUCACUCACCACGGGAUUAUGCACAGGUAUCGAUAAUUGACUUAUUUUCGUAAAUUGUUAAUUAGACGUUUCUUUUGGCAAACGAUAGAUUUAUCAUAAGCCUUAGAUCAUUUUCAGCUGUCAAAUUUAGUCAGUUUCAGCUACUUUGCCCAUCCCUGUAAAAAUGUAUCGGCAGUUAUUGCGUGUUAACUUUUUGGUGAUAACUGACGAUAACUAUUCCACCAACUCACUUGUUAAUUGUUCGAUAAUGGUUUUUUCCCUACUAAAUCUGUUUCACGGACACGGAGAUGACGAAUAUUUUGGUUUAUUUUCCGAGUCACCCUAUUUUCCGUCCCACUCUAUCGUCCGUGGAUGCUAAGGGCUGUCACUAGGUGGCUAAAUAUUUCAAUGUGUUUAGGGAUUGAACUAUUCAGCCCUAGUGUGUAGAGGGAUGUACUGGAGGGGGGGUCUCACCACACCCAUAGUUGUGAGAAGAGAAACCAUAUGUCGUUCUUUUACUUCCGAGACGCUGACCGAGAAGGUUACUCUAGUCAUUAUUGCUGGGUACUUUCAUCCCUGAAAUUGUUCUUCAUAAAAAAAGGUUGGUGGAGAUUGUUCUCAAUGUGAAAUGCAAGAUCGACAAGAUGAGAUAAGUUGCCAAGCCUCUGAUGAGGCCUCUACCAUGCUGCGAGAUAAAAAUGUGCUCACUAGGCAAGCUGAAAUGAAUUUACUCGAGUUGGGCCUAAAAUUCAUGAUUUAGAAGCAAUUGAACAACUACUAACUGUUUCAAAUAAGCAUUUGUGGAAAAGAUUUUGAUCACCUUGGGAAGAGUUACAAUUUGGUUUAUUUGAGAAUUUUUAUUAAACAGAACUAAACUUAUCUAUUUUAUAAUUUUGAAAUUUUUAUUGGUUUAUUAAUGUACUUUUGGCUUUUGCUUUGCAGGUUUCAUUGGUUAGAGAAAGUUUGAGCUGUUCAUGGUUGUGAUGUUUGGUGUGGCAGUCAUUUUCUGAUAGAGGUGCACUGAAAUGGAUCUUCUACAGACCUGCAGUUCAACAUCAUACUUCCAUUUACCAUGUUGGUGUCCAUGCAGAGUUGAGCUGUUGUGCAAAAUAAUAGGUGUUGCCUCAUGGCUUUCUGGCAAUUUGUUGGUGUGUUCUUCUGCUACCUGUAUCUAUGUUGAGUUCAAUCGAACGGCGCCGUUCCGGACUUGAUCCAUUGGUGAAGCUAAGAAGAGGUUGCUGAACUUCAAGAGAUUGAUAAAUUAUUUAGUCUUAGAGAUUUUGCAAAUUCAUAUCUGUUCUAUCUUUCCCCAAGUAAACAAAAUUUCCUCUUAGGUAGUUGUGUGGAUGGGUAAUUGCAAUGAGAUUUUGUAUUUUCUGUGAGAAAACUCAGUUAAAACCAUAAAAAUCUUGUGUACUGA
rnacentral:lncRNA from 1 species